CCUGCUGUGUGAAGCCCCAGAGAGGCCAUGUCUAGUGUGGGCAUGGUCCAGGCGCGGCGGAGACCGCGGGGCUGGCGCUGGGUGGUGGACCCUUGGGGGAGAUCUUUGGCUUCGCUAAUGUGAUGGCGGAGGCCUUGGGAAAGUCCAGGGAGCAGGACGCCACCCCUUACCAGACCCUGGAAGAGGUGAUGAACACGGCCCUGACCAGUCCUGGGCAAGCCAGCCCCACCCGGCUCCCAAGGGACCCCGACCGCCUGCGUGCCCACCCGAACGCCAUCACAGAGCCUGGCACAUCCCGGCGGGCUUGUCUUCCAGGCGGCACCUGGAAGUGAAACUGCAGUGAAACGGAUGUUCACCCUUGGAACCCAGCCCCCAUGCUGUGAGGAAGCCCAGGCCACACUGAGAGGCCCACGUGCAAAGGAACCAAGGCCCGGAGCCCUAGGCCCUGGCUGAGCUCCGGUUGACACACCAGCACCAACUUGCCAGCCAUUGAUAGGAAGUUUUCUUUCAAAAUACACUUUCCCCUUGAGUGUGGGCUGGACUCAGUGACUCGCUUCCAGAGAACAAAGUGUGAAAACGGAGAAAUAGUAACAGCGAUGGAGAACCCAGCAGACACUACCUUCACCAAGUGAUCAACGUUCACGUCACCCAGCAACAAUCUGACUGUGACAUCUCUCACCCGUAGCAACUGAAUAACCUGGCUGGAGGAGGUCACUUUCACUACUUCAUCCUUCUUACUGUAUCUAUCUCAAAGCUGCAAGUGGCAUUUUGUGGGAGAGGAGCAUCCCAUUAGAGACCUCCUGCGUGAAGGGCGAGCCCAAAACAGCGUCCAUGGCUGCUGUCCGCGGUGCUGAUCAUCUACAGCUAGCUUCCUGCAAGAGAAGAAGCAUCAGAAAAAUCAUGGUGAAGUUCACAAUAAGUGAA